rnacentral:rRNA from 1 species
GUGGAUUAGUGGCGAACGGGUGAGUAACACGUGGGCAAUCUGCCCUUCACUCUGGGACAAGCCCUGGAAACGGGGUCUAAUACCGGAUAAUACUCCUGCCUGCAUGGGUGGGGGUUGAAAGCUCCGGCGGUGAAGGAUGAGCCCGCGGCCUAUCAGCUUGUUGGUGGGGUAAUGGCCUACCAAGGCGACGACGGGUAGCCGGCCUGAGAGGGCGACCGGCCACACUGGGACUGAGACACGGCCCAGACUCCUACGGGAGGCAGCAGUGGGGAAUAUUGCACAAUGGGCGAAAGCCUGAUGCAGCGACGCCGCGUGAGGGAUGACGGCCUUCGGGUUGUAAACCUCUUUCAGCAGGGAAGAAGCGCAAGUGACGGUACCUGCAGAAGAAGCGCCGGCUAACUACGUGCCAGCAGCCGCGGUAAUACGUAGGGCGCAAGCGUUGUCCGGAAUUAUUGGGCGUAAAGAGCUCGUAGGCGGCUUGUCACGUCGGAUGUGAAAGCCCGGGGCUUAACCCCGGGUCUGCAUUCGAUACGGGCUAGCUAGAGUGUGGUAGGGGAGAUCGGAAUUCCUGGUGUAGCGGUGAAAUGCGCAGAUAUCAGGAGGAACACCGGUGGCGAAGGCGGAUCUCUGGGCCAUUACUGACGCUGAGGAGCGAAAGCGUG